GACGAACGCUGGCGGCGUGCCUAACACAUGCAAGCCGAGCGAAUGAAGUUCCUUCGAGAAUGGAUUUAGCGGCGGACGGGUGAGUAACACGUGGGCAACCUGCCUCAUAGAGGGGAAUAGCCUCCCGAAAGGGAGAUUAAUACCGCAUAAGAUUGUAGUACCGCAUGAUACAGCAAUUAAAGGAGCAAUCCGCUAUGAGAUGGGCCCGCGGCGCAUUAGCUAGUUGGUGAGGUAAUGGCUCACCAAGGCAACGAUGCGUAGCCGACCUGAGAGGGUGAUCGGCCACAUUGGGACUGAGACACGGCCCAGACUCCUACGGGAGGCAGCAGUGGGGAAUAUUGCACAAUGGGGGAAACCCUGAUGCAGCAACGCCGCGUGAGUGAUGACGGCCUUCGGGUUGUAAAGCUCUGUCUUCAGGGACGAUAAUGACGAUACCUGAGGAGGAAGCCACGGCUAACUACGUGCCAGCAGCCGCCGUAAAAC
rnacentral:rRNA from 1 species